rnacentral:tRNA from 1 species
UGACCCCUGACCACCCUUAGCGAC